rnacentral:tRNA from 3 species
AGGGGUAUAGUUUAAUGGUAAAACGAAGGUCUCCAAAACCUUUGAUGUGGGUUCGAUUCCUGCUACCCCUG